rnacentral:rRNA from 1 species
UACGUAGGAGGCGAGCGUUGUCCGGAAUUACUGGGCGUAAAGCGUGCGCAGGCGGUUUUAUAAGCCAGAUGUGAAAUCCCCGGGCUUAACCUGGGAAUGGCAUUUGGGACUGUAAGGCUAGAAUCUGGCAGAGGGGGGUAGAAUUCCACGUGUAGCAGUGAAAUGCGUAGAGAUGUGGAGGAAUACCGAUGGCGAAGGCAGCCCCCUGGGCUAAGAUUGACGCUCAUGCACGAAAGCGUGGGGAGCAAACAGG